rnacentral:misc_RNA from 1 species
UCCCAGGUAGGCUCAACCAAUAUUCAAAUCCAAAUAACAAUCCCAUAUAUUCAAUUAUAAGACACUAGCAUAAAAUUUAUCUUACACAACAAAAAUGAAUAGCAGAAAUUUCAAAUCUUCAGCUCAGACAACAGAAGAAACCAACCAAAAAAAUCUGACCUGAGGUAGCCAAUCAACAAUGCAGAAGGUCACUACUCUCCAGUUAACAUUGCCUUUAUAAUGUUAUCAGACAUCCCAUCAAUGAAAGGAAACAAGUGUGUAGCUGAUGAUAAUAAAUCCAGGGAAGUCGUUGAGUGAUGUAGCGCUGCAACAUAACAGGAACCAAACGAUCUUCAUCUCCUUGCCAUAGAUGAACUGAACCUUCAUUGAUUGGAUUGGGAAUGGAUUAUUCAGAUCCACAGGAUCUAAUUCCCAGGUGCCACAUGUCAUGAUGGAAGGAUUCAUAUUCUCCUUGCUGUGUCGCAUAUUCCACCCAUGGAAAAGCCAAUUACAUAGAAUUUGGAUCCGA